rnacentral:rRNA from 1 species
UACGUAGGGGGCAAGCGUUGUCCGGAAUCAUUGGGCGUAAAGCGCGUGUAGGCGGCCAGAAAAGUCCGCUGUGAAAACUCGAGGCUCAACUUCGAGCUGUCGGUGGAAACUUUCUGGCUAGAGUCCGGAAGAGGAGAAUGGAAUUCCUGGUGUAGCGGUGAAAUGCGCAGAUAUCAGGAAGAACACCCGUGGCGAAGGCGGGAUCCUGGGCCAGUACUGACGCUGAGGAGCGAAAGCGUGGGGAGCAAACAGG